UGCUCUGGUGGCCUAAUGGUUAGAGCAUCUGCCUCAAAAGCAGGAGUUCAUGGGUUCAAACCCCAGCUGAGUCA